GGCGGCAUGCUUACACAUGCAGUCGAACGGUGAAGGUGGAGCUUGCUCCGCCGGAUCAGUGCCGUACGGGUGAGUAACACGUGGGCAACCUGCCCCAGACUCCGGGAUAACUUCUCGAAAGAGACGCUAAUACCGGAUACGAACUUCGCAGGCAUCUGUGAAGUUGGAAAGUUUUUCGGUCUGGGAUGGGCCCGCGGCCUAUCAGCUAGUUGGUGAGGUAUCGGCUCACCAAGGCGACGACGGGUAGCCGGCCUGAGAGGGCGACCGGCCACACUGGGACUGAGACACGGCCCACACUCCUACGGGAGGCAGCAGUCGGGAAUAUUGGACAAUGGGGGGAACCCUGAUCCAGCCAUGCCGCGUGUGUGAAGAAGGCUCUAGGGUUGUAAAGCACUUUUAGUAAGGAGGAAGGCUCAGUAGUUAAUACCUGCUGGGAUUGACGUUACUUACAGAAAAAGCACCGGCUAACUCCGUGCCAGCAGCCGCGGUAAUACGGAGGGUGCAAGCGUUGUCCGGAAUCGUUGGGUGUAAAGGGUGCGUAGGCGGAUGCCUAAGUCUGGGGUGAAAUCUUGCAGCUUAACUGUAAAAUUGCCUUGGAUACUGGGUGUCUUGAGUACAGAAGAGGAUGGUGGAAUUCGUAGUGUAGCGGUGAAAUGCAUAGAUAUUACGAAGAACACCGGUGGCGAAAGCGGCCAUCUGGUCUGUUACUGACGCUGACGCACGAAAGCGUGGGGAGCGAACAGGAUUAGAUACCCUGGUAGUCCACGCCGUAAACGAUGUGUGCUAGUUGUUGGCCUGUAUGGGCCAGUGACGUCAUUAACGCGCUAAGCACACCACGUGGGGAGUACGUUCGCAAGAUGAAACUCAAGGAAUUGACGGGGGCCCGCACAGCGGUGGAGCAUGUGGCUUAAUCGAUGCACCGAGAAGAACUUACCUGGGUAAAUC
rnacentral:rRNA from 1 species